rnacentral:lncRNA from 1 species
UCAGCACUAAUAUUUUCAAAUAGUGCUGGUGUGGGUUAAAUUCGUAUGACAUAGCUAUUAGCAUAGUGUUGACGUUGAACAUAUGUGGAACACCAUUUAUAUGUGGACUCCAAUGUUGUGUGCAGGCGUAAAUUACUAUUGGCGUACUAGGUGCCGACAGCAUUUGCUAUAUCUAUGCAUGGCAUAGGACUUUUCCAGACGCCAACAAUAUAUUUUGUGGUCUAUUUUUCUAUGUCAACUUUUGGACCCACAUAACACCGACUUAGCGUACAAUGGGACUCCAGGAGUAUACAUAUUAGUUCUGGCAUUGAAUUGUCUGGCGAUGCCAGUACUAAAGUCGGAGCGCUUCCCACCACUUGGCCCCCCUUGGGGAUACAACUAGUAUAUUCCAUUCUUCUUCCUCUUGCUCUUCAUCUUCCUCAUCUCUCUUUCCUACUCAUCUUGAGAAGAAAUCCAAUUAUUCUAGCAUGAUUCUUAAUUAGGUAGCUAAAUAUGGAUAUACAAAACCGCCGAGACGACUUCGAUAGAGUGCACAUAGUGGUGUUACAACAAGCAGAUAUAAUUACUCCUUGGUAGCAGACUCACAAGGACACCUUAAAGAGAGAGCAUGCAAUAGCAGGGAGGUCGGAGAGGACCGAAGCCCAGAUCAUUAGAAAGCACAACCCCAAAUUUGCAUCUUGGUUGACAAAAAGAGUGAAUUCGUACUCCUGGAGUCAUAACGCGAGCUGGGAGUAUUCGAUCAAGAUUAAAAAGACCCAAACCGUCGUUGAGAGGAUUGCCA